rnacentral:rRNA from 1 species
GACAGAGGGUGCAAACGUUGUUCGGAUUUACUGGGCGUAAAGCGCGUGUAGGCGGCUUGGCAAGUCGGAUGUGAAAGCCCACGGCUCAACCGUGGAAGCGCAUCCGAAACUGCUUCGCUUGAGUCUCGGAGAGGAAGGUGGAAUGCUUGGUGUAGAGGUGAAAUUCGUAGAUAUCAAGCAGAACACCUGCGGCGAAGGCGGCCUUCUGGACGAUGACUGACGCUGAGACGCGAAAGCGUGGGGAGCAAACAGG